AAACUUUCAACAACGGAUCUCUUGGUUCCGGCAUCGAUGAAGAACGCAGCGAAAUGCGAUAACUAAUGUGAAUUGCAGAAUUCAGUGAAUCAUCGAGUCUUUGAACGCACAUUGCGCCCCCUGGUAUUCCGGGGGGCAUGCCUGUCCGAGCGUCAU
rnacentral:rRNA from 4 species